rnacentral:tRNA from 1 species
GAAGAGAUAGCUGAGUGGUCAAAAGCGAUAGACUGUAAAUCUAUUGAUAAUUUAUCUACACAGGUUCGAAUCCUGUUCUCUUCA